UAACCUGCCCAAGAGACUGGGAUAACACCUGGAAACAGAUGCUAAUACCGGAUGACAACACUAGACGCAUGUCUAGAGUUUAAAAGAUGGUUCUGCUAUCACUCUUGGAUGGACCUGCGGUGCAUUAGCUAGUUGGUAAGGUAACGGCUUACCAAGGCAAUGAUGCAUAGCCGAGUUGAGAGACUGAUCGGCCACAUUGGGACUGAGACACGGCCCAAACUCCUACGGAAGGCAGCAG
rnacentral:rRNA from 1 species